rnacentral:rRNA from 1 species
UGUACCUACGGGGCGCAGCAGUGAGGAAUAUUGGUCAAUGGCCGGAAGGCUGAACCAGCCAAGCCGCGUGAAGGACGAAGGUGCCAAGCAUUGUAAACUUCUUUUGUCAGGGAACAAAGGCGGGGACGUGUCCCCGGAUGAGUGUACCUGAAGAAAAAGCAUCAGCUAACUCCGUGCCAGCAGCCGCGGUAAUACGGAGGAUGCGAGCGUUAUCCGGAUUUAUUGGGUUUAAAGGGUGCGCAGGCGGUCUGUUAAGUCAGCGGUCAAAGCCCGGGGCUCAACCCCGGCCCGCCGUUGAAACUGGC